GGCUCAGGAUGAACGCUAGCUACAGGCUUAACACAUGCAAGUCGAGGGGCAGCAUGACGAUUGCUUGCAACUGUUGAUGGCGACCGGCGCACGGGUGAGUAACGCGUAUCCAACCUUCCCCAUAGUAGAGGAUAGCCCGGCGAAAGUCGGAUUAAUACUCUAUGUUGUAUAACGAGGACAUCUGAAUUAUACCAAAGAUUCAUCGCUAUGGGAUGGGGAUGCGUCUGAUUAGCUUGUCGGCGGGGUAACGGCCCACCGAGGCAACGAUCAGUAGGGGUUCUGAGAGGAAGGUCCCCCACAUUGGUACUGAGACACGGACCAAACUCCUACGGGAGGCAGCAGUGAGGAAUAUUGGUCAAUGGACGAGAGUCUGAACCAGCCAAGUAGCGUGCAAGGAUGACUGCCCUAUGGGUUGUAAACUGCUUUUAUGCGGGAAUAAAGUCAGGUACGUGUACCUGUUUGUAUGUACCGCAUGAAUAAGGACCGGCUAAUUCCGUGCCAGCCGCUGC
rnacentral:rRNA from 1 species